UAACUUAAAAAGGGAAGACCUGGGA
rnacentral:piRNA from 1 species